ensembl:ncRNA K08B5.7 ncRNA
GCGGCAAGAUCUAUCACUUUUCCUAUCCCCUCGGACGGAUGGAUGUCAGCUUCAUCUCCUUUUGCUUCUCCUUCUCCACUCUUCCUUCUUCUACAGCAAAAGCCAUUCAUAUCAGUCACUCACUUCUGGAGAGACAGACACUUAGACCAGUUCUUUCCUUCGUGUCUCUACAUCUCUCAGGCUCUAGCCCAUUGAUCGCCGGUUUUGUAUUCUUGCUGUGUUUAC